GAUGAACGCUGGCGGCGUGCCUAAUACAUGCAAGUCGAGCGAAUGGAUUGAGAGCUUGCUCUUAUGAAGUUAGCGGCGGACGGGUGAGUAACACGUGGGUAACCUGCCCAUAAGACUGGGAUAACUCCGGGAAACCGGGGCUAAUACCGGAUAACAUUUUGAACCGCAUGGUUCGAAAUUGAAAGGCGGCUUCGGCUGUCACUUAUGGAUGGACCCGCGUCGCAUUAGCUAGUUGGUGAGGUAACGGCUCACCAAGGCAACGAUGCGUAGCCGACCUGAGAUGGUGGGCCGCCACACUGGGACUGAGACACGGCCCAGACUCCUACGGGAGGCAGCAGUAGGGAAUCUUCCGCAAUGGACGAAAGUCUGACGGAGCAACGCCGCGUGAGUGAUGAAGGAUUUCGGGUCGUAAAACUCUGUUGUUAGGGAAGAACAAGUGCUAGUUGAAUAAGCUGGCACCUUGACGGUACCUAACCAGAAAGCCACGGCUAACUACGUGCCAGCCGCCGCAGUAA
rnacentral:rRNA from 1 species